rnacentral:rRNA from 1 species
UCCUACGGGAGGCAGCAGUGGGGAAUAUUGCACAAUGGGGGGAACCCUGAUGCAGCGACGCCGCGUGGGUGAAGGAGUAUUUCGGUAUGUAAAGCCCUAUCAGCAGGGAAGAACAAUGACGGUACCUGACUAAGAAGCACCGGCUAAAUACGUGCCAGCAGCCGCGGUAAUACGUAUGGUGCAAGCGUUAUCCGGAUUUACUGGGUGUAAAGGGAGCGCAGGCGGCGCGUUAAGCCUGGUGUGAAAGCCCGCGGCCCAACCCCGGGACUGCUCUUGGAACUGCGUGGCUGGAGUGCAGGAGGGGG